UCUUACGGAGGCACCAGUGGGAAUAUUGCCAAUGGGCGCAAGCUUGAUCCAGCAAUGCCGCGUGUGUAAGAAGGCCGCGGGUUGUAAAGCACUUUAAGCAGGAAAGAAGGGUGGGGUGUUAAUACCAUCUCACAUUGACGUUACCUGCAGAAUAAGCACCGGCUAACUCCGUGCCAGCAGCCGCGGUAAUACGGAGGGUGCGAGCGUUAAUCGGAAUUACUGGGCGUAAAGCGCGCGUAGGCGGUUUGAUAAGUCUGAUGUGAAAGCCCUGGGCUUAACCUGGGAACUGCAUUGGAAACUGUCAGGCUCGAGUGUGGUAGAGGGUAGUGGAAUUUCCGGUGUAGCAGUGAAAUGCGUAGAGAUCGGAAGGGACACCAGUGGCGAAGGCGGCUACCUGGACCAACACUGACGCUGAGGUGCG
rnacentral:rRNA from 1 species